rnacentral:rRNA from 1 species
AACGAACGCUGGCGGCAUGCCUAACACAUGCAAGUCGAACGAGACCGUCGGGUCUAGUGGCGCACGGGUGCGUAACGCGGGGGAACCUGCCCUUAGGUUCGGAAUAACUCCCCGAAAGGGGUGCUAAGACCGGAUAAUGUCUUCGGACCAAAGAGUUAUCGCCUUGGGAUGGGCCCGCGUUGGAUUAGCUAGUUGGUAGGGGAAAAGCCUACCAAGGCGACGAUCCAUAGCUGGUCUGAGAGGAUGAUCAGCCGCACUGGGACUGAGACACGGCCCAGACUCCUACGGGAGGCAGCAGUGGGGAAUCUUGGACAAUGGGCGAAAGCCUGAUCCAGCAAUGCCGCGUGAGUGAUGAAGGGCUUAGGGUUGUAAAGCUCUUUUACCCGGGAUGAUAAUGACAGUACCGGGAGAAUAAGCUCCGGCUAACUCCGU